UACGGGGGGGGCAAGCGUUGUUCGGAAUUACUGGGCGUAAAGGGUUCGUAGGUGGCCAACUAAGUCAGACGUGAAAUCCCUCAGCUUAACUGGGGAACUGCGUCUGAGACUGGAUGGCUUGAGUGCAGGAGAGGAACGCGGAAUUCCAGGUGUAGCGGUGGAAUGCGCAGAUAUCAGGAGGAACACCGGUGGCGAAGGCGGGUCUCUGGGCAGUAACUGACGCUGAGGAGCGAAAGCGUGGGGAGCGAACAGG
rnacentral:rRNA from 1 species